rnacentral:rRNA from 1 species
UAAAACCAGCACCUCAAGUGGUCAGGAUGAUUAUUGGGCCUAAAGCAUCCGUAGCCGGCUUUGUAAGUUUUCGGUUAAAUCCAUGUGCUCAACGCAUGGGCUGCCGAAAAUACUGCAUAGCUAGGGAGUGGGAGAGGUAGACGGUACUCAGUAGGUAGGGGUAAAAUCCUUUGAUCUAUUGAUGACCACCUGUGGCGAAGGCGGUCUACCAGAACACGUUCGACGGUGAGGGAUGAAAGCUGGGGGAGCAAACCGGAUUAGAUACCCGGGUAGUCCCAGCUGUAAACGAUGCAGACUCGAUGAUGCAUUGGCAUAAUAGCCAUUGCAGUGUCGCAGGGAAGCCGUUAAGUCUGCCGCCUGGGCAGUACGUACGCAAGUAUG